rnacentral:rRNA from 1 species
UGAGGAAUAUUGGGCAAUGGAGGCAACUCUGACCCAGCCAUGCCGCGUGCAGGAUGACUGCCCUAUGGGUUGUAAACUGCUUUUAUACAGGAAGAAACCAUUCUACGUGUAGGGUGUUGACGGUACUGUAAGAAUAAGCACCGGCUAACUCCGUGCCAGCAGCCGCGGUAAUACGGAGGGUGCAAGCGUUAUCCGGAAUCAUUGGGUUUAAAGGGUCCGUAGGCGGAUUAAUAAGUCAGAGGUGAAAUCCCACAGCUUAACUGUGGAACUGCCUUUGAUACUGUUAGUCUUGAGUUAUGUGGAAGUAGAUAGAAUGUGUAGUGUAGCGGUGAAAUGCUUAGAGAUUACACAGAAUACCGAUUGCGAAGGCAGUCUACUACGCAUAUACUGACGCUAAUGGACGAAAGCGUGGGGAGCGAACA